UACGGAGGAUCCAAGCGUUAUCCGGAAUCAUUGGGUUUAAAGGGUCCGUAGGCGGUUUGGUAAGUCAGUGGUGAAAGCCCAUCGCUCAACGGUGGAACGGCCAUUGAUACUGCCAGACUUGAAUUAUUAGGAAGUAACUAGAAUAUGUAGUGUAGCGGUGAAAUGCUUAGAGAUUACAUGGAAUACCAAUUGCGAAGGCAGGUUACUACUAAAUGGAUUGACGCUGAUGGACAGAAAGCGUGG
rnacentral:rRNA from 1 species